GAGAGUAGUACUAGGAUGGGUGACCUCCUGGGAAGUCCUCGUGUUGCAUUCC
rnacentral:rRNA from 1 species